GACACACGUAUAAGACACCCUCUUAGGUCCCAGUGUCGGCAACGCCGGCUUUUUCUCCCUCGACCUUGACGAGCGUAAAUAUGACAAUGAGUAAAGCUGAAAGAAAAGACAAAGAGAAAGAAGAGGAAAAAAGGGGAAAGAAGUACAAUGCUGGAACAAAACACGGAGACAUGCACCAAUCACACCCACUGUCCUAGGCUUUUCCCAUCUAAAUCCAGAGCCUGCGAUUGUUACAAUUGUAAAGUGACUGUUCAAGGAUUGGGUGUGAGAAGAGCAGGCUGCAACCUCAUGAUCCUCGCAAUUCCUUAGCUCCGCAAUCUGCACAACUGGACGCGCUUUCUCGCAUCUAUCGCGGCGUCAGAAUCAUCCGGGAGCAGAGAUGUUGACAGAAUCUUAAUCCGGGCUUUGACCAUCCGGAGUCUGCUCACUACUUGUGACUUGGUUUCUGUGAUUCGGAAGAUACCCGGCAUCUAGCGUGCGCAUCCAGCAUGUCCGAUCGGCCAUUGGUUAUUGUACUAAGCGGCUCUUUUGAUGAAACUCAUUAAUUAUAGUCUGGAUUUAAAUUCCGAUGUUUGUGGAGCUAGCUAAAGUGUGACUGGUCGACCAGGCUCUCUUAAUGUGUAUUAUUUUCUCAUUCAUGUUAAAGUAGUGUAUGAUCCAAGUUUAGGAAUCUAGAUAACCUCUAAUGAAUCUCCAUGUUCGUUUAAUAAAAACUAGGUAGUUUCUACGGAAUACCCUCGUGUAUGUAACAUUGCUGUGCCUUUCCGAGAGUUAUCGCUCUUGUGCUUGGCCAACACGUUCGAACGCGGAGUACAGUGCUUCGAAAGCUGUGCCACCCACUGGACCUAACUGUCAUGCUUGUGAAAAUCUCUCCGGCUCAGUAUGACAAUGCUUGCUUUCUUGCAUGGCUGUCGAUGAUUACCUAGCCCAGGUCUCCCAUUAUUUGCUUGACUCUGGACUCGAUGGACGCUAUCUUCUGGACCUUCUGGGUCCGCACCCACCCUACUGUGUGUAUCGAUAAUUGUAAGGAUGAGGGGACAUGUAAUGAGGCAUUUGCUAUCAAGGGAGGAGCUCGUUGGUUGUGUGUCAAAGAAUGGUCCUGGAGACUUAGAUUUCUUCUAAGCGAGUCGGGCAGCAUGGUGUGCUUAAGUACGGUGUAUUAUUCUCACACGCCUCUGCUCAUUUUUCUCGCUGGACAUAAAGUGGUCCAACUCAAAGUAAUUUUUACACGAUGGCGGUGAGCUUUAUGAAUCCGUGAUUUCAGUCGCCAAUCCUUGAUCUUUAAGAACGGAACAUCCCUGAGGCAACCUCGAGGAAGUCCCAAGGGGAGCAACCAUAUACGCUGUUUACAGUUUCAACAAGUACUUGUUUAAACCUUUAAAAAAGAACUGAACAGAAGCUCGCGGGCUUUGAACA